rnacentral:rRNA from 1 species
CCUACGGGUGGCAGCAGUGAGGAAUAUUGGUCAAUGGGCGCGAGCCUGAACCAGCCAAGUAGCGUGAAGGAUGACUGCCCUACGGGUUGUAAACUUCUUUUAUAAAGGAAUAAAGUGAGGCACGUGUGCCUUUUUGUAUGUACUUUAUGAAUAAGGAUCGGCUAACUCCGUGCCAGCAGCCACGGUAAUACGGAGGAUCCGAGCGUUAUCCGGAUUUAUUGGGUUUAAAGGGAGCGUAGAUGGGUUGUUAAGUCAGUUGUGAAAGUUUGCGGCUCAACCGUGGAAGUGCAAUUGAUACUGGCAGUCUUGAGUAGAGUUGAGGUAGGCGGAAUUCGUGGUGUAGCGGUGAAAUGCAUAGAUAUCACGAAGAACUCCGAUUGCGAAGGCAGCAUACGGAACUGCCACUGACGUUGAGGCUCGAAAGUGUGGGUAUCAAACAGGAUUAGAUACCCUUGUAGUC